UACGUAGGGUGCAAGCGUUGUCCGGAAUUAUUGGGCGUAAAGAGCUCGUAGGCGGUUUGUUGCGUCGGCUGUGAAAACUCGGGGCUCAACCCCGAGCCUGCAUUCGAUACGGGCAGACUUGAGUUCGGCAGGGGAGACUGGAAUUCCUGGUGUAGCGGUGAAAUGCGCAGAUAUCAGGAGGAACACCGGUGGCGAAGGCGGGUCUCUGGGCCGAUACUGACGCUGAGGAGCGAAAGCGUGGGGAGCGAACAGG
rnacentral:rRNA from 1 species